AAAAUCCGUUGGCUUUAUUG
rnacentral:tRNA from 1 species